rnacentral:Y_RNA from 1 species
GGCUGGUGGGAAGGUAGUGAGUUAUCUCAAUUGAUUGUUCAUGGUCAGUUACAGAUCGAAGUCUUUGUUCUACUCUUUCCCCUUCUCACUACUGCACUUGACUAGUCUUUA